AUCACGGGGAGCUUGCAGGACACCACGGCAGGCUGAGAGGGGGCGCCGCCCGCCCCGACCCGACGAACCUGAUAUGGGUAAUGCCAACGAAGGGAGCAUG
rnacentral:ncRNA from 1 species